AAGCUGUGGGCUACAUCACUGGAAUGCUGGGCGUUGCCCCCAGCUGCAGGCAACCGGCAUUUCACACACCUGUCUCAUGUGAUCAUCAGGACUGGCUUUUCACUGGAGUGUUUGACCAAACCAAACCAGAGCUUAACAUGACAAUUGGUAUCCCAAGAAACAAACCACUCCACAAUAGUAAGAUCCCCAUAUAGUUUUUCAACAGCACAUCGAUUAUACCCGGAAAGUUUUUUAUGUCAACUUCAUCAUCUGACAGGAUGUCACACUCUGCUAGGUCCGGUCUGACUGGAAAAACAUGCGUAAAAGAUCCUGAAACCCCAAUGGCGGAUGAACUUAUCUUUAAGUAUUUCACAGAGGGCCACAGUUAUAAUAGACUUCCUUCCAACAAAACACAAUAUUUCACUGAAUCUUAGCACUUGAAAAAGAAGAAUACAAGAUGUCGGCCUGACCAGGAGGACGAACUACACUCCAAUUGCUACUGUGCGGGCAGCUAUUUUUGACGAACUGAAGGGAUCAGGCCAACUCCUGGGUUACCGAGCAAUGUGUCAGACUCUGAAACAGAAGUACUCUCUUAUUGUCGGAAGAGGUGAUGCACCUAAUGGGAGAAUUGGAUCCGUCUGGAGUAGAAAAUCACUCUAGACAAAGACUUGUCUGCAGAGCAUACCACUCAGUCUGACUGACUGCGGAACACAAAAUGGACUGAUGGCAGCACUUCACUGUUCCUUGAGAUCAUUGCAUGUGGACGAAUUUGCAGGAGCCAAAAGCCACGUGUAUGGCACAUCAACAUCCAACCAACGCAUUGAAAGCUAGUGCUCCUACUUUCAGAAACAAAGGAGUCAGUUUUGGAUGGAUCUGUUCAGUGACUUGAGGGAAAGGCACCUCUUCAAUGGCAGCAGAGAUCACACAAGUUUGGUGCAACACUGCUUCAUGGGUGUCCUUCAGAAUGAACUGGACGAAUACAAGCAACUCUGGAACACGCACACUAUUCGUCCUGUUCGCCAAUCCCAGUGCCCAUCUCGCAAACCAGAGUUUAUGUAUCACGUGCCUCAAAGAUGCUGAUGACUUUUAGUUUUAAGUCAUCUUGGGUCUCUGCAUCCUUGUCCUAUGAGAAACAACGGAGAUGGAUGGAAUGGCAAUAAAACUAAAAUAUGCAUGGAAGGACAGUAAGCUGAGUCUUCGUGUCAGGGUACUUCCUCUUAGACUCAACAGCAAAAAUUGUGGAUUCCCUACAUCUGCACAAGCCCUGAGCCAGUUCGACGCCCUCAUGCCCGUGCCAGUAACUCCAGGUGGGGAUGAUGAACAGGAAACUUGCUUUGAAGAACUGCAAAGUGGUUUGUCGCCUCCUCUACAAUGGGAAUCUGCUGUAGAGAACUACAUCACCCUGAAGAACAUGGCUGAUCUGUUUGAUACCGUCAGCUGCGGGCUGGCUACAUGCAUCCAAAGCCGGGGGAAUUCUUAAUCCUAAAGUUCUAGUAUUUGCCUUAAAUGUGUUGUAGUUGUCCAAGAGAGGCAGCUUCAAAGUGUUAGCACAUUUGUCAUAGAGGCAAAAGGACAGAGGACAGGAGUCGGCGCCGUUGGAUCCUGCUGCAGCGUUGUUAAAAAGUGCAAGCUGGCAAGUCCAUCCUUGAAUCUGAAAUACAAUAACUUGAAAAGUUAAUGUACACUUUGUAGCAGCUACUAAGCAUUGGAAUGAGACAGCAACACUAUGUUUUAUCCGGAACAAUUACUGUAUUUACUUUUUAGCAACAACAGUAAUAACAAAAUAAAACUACCUUAUGAUUACGCUGUGGUUCCUGUCACCACCUGAGGAACUCCUUCACAAUGAAGUGCUUUUCCUCCACGGACGUUUGAAGCACCCUGCGGUCUGCAAAAUGGUGCUGUGCUGUACCAAUAGGUCUUGUAGGGUCUCCAAUGAG